GCAGCCAAGCGUUCAUAGCGA
rnacentral:sRNA from 1 species